CCCCAUUAGAUACACUCCAUGAUAAAAGCACUCCUUCAUAAACCAUCAAGUAUGAGCCAUUGCCCACAUUAGCCAGUACACCAAUAGCCUCAUCUUUAGAAUCACCACCUAUCCUAGAACUGAAACUACUUCCUACCAUGUUUAAGCAUGUACUUCUAGGACCCAAUGGCAUCCUUCUGAUGAUCAUUGCAUUAGACUUGACCCU
rnacentral:lncRNA from 1 species